rnacentral:rRNA from 1 species
UACGUAGGGGGCGAGCGUUGUCCGAAGUUACUGGGCGUAAAGCGUGUGUAGCCGGGUCCGUAAGUACCUUGUGAAAUCCCACGGCUCAACCGUGGAACUGCUUGGUAUACUGCGGGUCUUGAGCCACUUAGGGGCAAGCGGAACAGACGGUGGAGCGGUGAAAUGCGUAGAUAUCGUCUGGAACGCCGAAGGUGAAAACAGCUCGCUGGGAUUGUGCUGACGCUGAGACACGAAAGCCAGGGGAGCGAACGGG